AGGGAAUUUUGCGCAAUGGGCGAAAGCCUGACGCAGCAACGCCGCGUGAGGGAAGAAGACCUUCGGGUUGUAAACCUCUUUUGUCAGGGAAGAAAAAUGACGGUACCUGACGAAUAAGUCACGGCUAACUACGUGCCAGCAGCCGCGGUAAUACGUAGGUGGCAAGCGUUAUCCGGAUUCAUUGGGCGUAAAGCGCGCGUAGGUGGUCCUUCAAGUCAGAUGUGAAAUCUCCCGGCUUAACUGGGAGCGGUCAUCUGAUACUGCUGGACUUGAGGAUGGUAGAGGGAGGUGGAAUUCCCGGUGUAGUGGUGAAAUGCGUAGAUAUCGGGAGGAACACCAGUGGCGAAAGCGGCCUCCUAGGCCAUACCUGACACUGAGGCGCGAAAGCGUGGGGAGCGAAC
rnacentral:rRNA from 1 species